AAUCAUGAGUUCACAACCCACCCGCGGUAAAACCCAUAAAGAUGCAGACCCAUUUCAGGUUUAAAACUAAAAUCACAAAUAAAAUCAACGAAAACAAUACAUACCACUACAAAAUUCACAACAACAUUGAGCACUACUUACGAUUCAAUAACGUCAAACAAGUAUCGAGGUACACACAUAAACAUGAUUUUAUUUGCAAAUACCUAGAAUCGAAACGCAGACUGAAAGAUUUGACUCUGUACUAGAAUCAGUGCGAAGGCGCGAAGAUUAUAGUGAGGGGACUAGACAGAUCGCGCCUGCAUUUCUUCACCGUUGAUUUGUAGGUCCCCUCUUAUACUGUAACCUACAUAUUAAUGCCUAUUUUCCCACUUUACCUUGAAUUUUCGUGAGGAUGGCCAGAGAGUUAAAUGUAUGAGGAGCCAUUCAACUUUGAUACAUGUCAUAGUUUACUCAUUGUACUUUAAAAUUUAUUUGAUUGGUCAUUCA
rnacentral:lncRNA from 1 species